AACGACUCUCGGCAACGGAUAUCUCGGCUCUCGCAUCGAUGAAGAACGCAGCGAAAUGCGAUACUUGGUGUGAAUUGCAGAAUCCCGCGAACCAUCGAGUUUUUGAACGCAAGUUGCGCCCAAAGCCUUCCGGCCGAGGGCACGUCUGCCUGGGUGUCACGC
rnacentral:rRNA from 1 species